CGGCAACCAACAGAUUGGGAAAAGAUCUUUACCAAUCCUACAACAGAUAGAGGCCUUAUUUCCAAAAUAUACAAAGAACUCAAGAAGUUAGACCGCAGGGAAACAAAUAACCCUAUUAAAAAAUGGGGUUCAGAGCUAAACAAAGAAUUCACAGCUGAGGAAUGCCGAAUGGCUGAGAAACACCUAAAGAAAUGUUCAACAUCUUUAGUCAUAAGGGAAAUGCAAAUCAAAACAACCCUGAGAUUUCACCUCACACCAGUGAGAAUGGCUAAGAUCAAAUCUCAGGGGACAGCAGAUGCUGGAGAGGAUGUGGAGAAAGAGGAACACUCCUCCAUUGUUGGUGGGAUUGCAUACUGGUACAACCAUUCUGGAAAUCAGUCUGGAGGAUCCUCAGAAAAUUGGACAUUGAACUGCCUGAGGAUCCAGCUAUACCUCUCUUGGGCAUAUACCCAAAAGAUGCCCCAACAUAUAAAAAAGACACGUGCUCCACUAUGUUCAUCGCAGCCUUAUUUAUAAUAGCCAGAAAAUGGAAAGAACCCAGAUGCCCUUCAACAGAGGAAUGGAUUCAAAAAAUGUGGUACAUCUACACAAUGGAAUAUUAC
rnacentral:lncRNA from 1 species